UAGCGUAGGGGGCGAGCGUUGUCCGGAAUUAUUGGGCGUAAAGAGCUCGUAGGCGGUUCCGUAAGUCAGGUGUGAAAAAUCGUGGGCUCAACCCAGUGGAGCACCUGAUACUGCGGUGACGUCGAGUCCGGUAGGGGAGUGUGGAAUUCCUGGAUGUAGCGGUGAAAUGCGCAGAUAUCAGGAGGAACACCGACGGCGAAGGCAGCACUCUGGGCCGGUACUGACGCUGGAGACGCGAAAGCCGUGGGGAGCGAACAGG
rnacentral:rRNA from 1 species